rnacentral:tRNA from 3 species
GGACUGGUAGCUCAGUUGGUUAGAGCGUCUCUCUUACACAGAGAAGGUCGCAGGUUCGAGUCCUGUCCGGUCCA